rnacentral:rRNA from 1 species
AACGGGUGAGUAACGCGUGAGGAACCUGCCUCAAAGAGGGGGACAACAGUUGGAAACGACUGCUAAUACCGCAUAAGCCCACGGCUCGGCAUCGAGCAGAGGGAAAAGGAGCAAUCCGCUUUGAGAUGGCCUCGCGUCCGAUUAGCUAGUUGGUGAGGUAAUGGCCCACCAAGGCGACGAUCGGUAGCCGGACUGAGAGGUUGAACGGCCACAUUGGGACUGAGACACGGCCCAGACUCCUACGGGAGGCAGCAUG